CAUUGUGAGAUGAGAAAAUGGUGGAAAGGGAGCUACUUAAUGAAGCCAUAGGCCUCUUAACUAAUAUUUUAGAUAGGCCUUCUCCAAAUGUUGUCACAUCGCUGUCAGGAAUGAUGGAUCAAAGACGACAGUCGACGUCGUCCACAGUAGGCAAUUCUAGUGCGAGCGUUGACGAGGAAUUGCAGCGGGCCUUCAGACGCGGAUCAGGUGCAUCAGGGAGUGGCGGUGGAGCCUCAUAGGCGCCAACCUGAACCAAGUGCUGCAACCCCGAUAUCAAACUCAGCAGUAUUUUGGGGGAUGGACUUCAAAGUCAAGGAAGAGAUCAAGAGGGACCACCAAAGUUAGGGUUAGUUGCCUUUGCAACAGGUGCAAGUGUCAUCCCUCCAGUUGGUUUCUCUCCUCAGCCAUCAAUUGAUUUCCUGCAUGAGCAUCCCUCCAGCCCCAAACAGCGUCUGCCCAUGGCGAACACUUGCAUAAACUGCCUCAAGUUGCCGCUGCUUGAGACUUAUGAUGAUUUUAAAGAGUGCAUGGACUUUGCACUAGGUAACACACAGGGUUUUGGAAGAGAGUAAUGGGAACAUUAUGUUCGUUCCAUCUACCUCGUUCAGGAGGUUUCAGCCAGGUUCUUGAAGCAAUGUGAAGAACAAUUUUAUUUUUUUAUUUUAGCGAAGUGCAAAAAAACAUUAUUCUUUAAAAGUCACUUUUAUUAUUUAUCAACCAUUGCUUUAUUAGUGCUGAUUGAGUAACUGGGCACAUAAUUAAGGUAUUAUGGCCCAGUGGUGCAACAAAUCACAUAAAUAUAUAACUGUUACUUUCAGUGUGUUUAAAAAAAAAAAAAAACAGUGCUUGUUUUGUUACUUUAAGUGUGAACCAUUUCCAGUGUUUACAGUUCACUAAGAACAUUCACCAGAACUAAAAAAAAUGAUAUGCCGUGAUUACCAUCAUCACUCAACGGGUCAAAUAGUUCUUCAAUUCUGUUCAUCAUGGUUUCAUUAACAUUAAAGUCAUUUACCUAAUGGUAAGGGGAUGUGUU